AGAGCACCAGAGAAAGAGAGUGAGAGGAGAGAGUAGCUCUGAAGGUGAAAGCCCAAGAAGGAGUUCUUGAGCUGUGAAGGUCCAUCUUCUUCCUUCUCCAUUUCAGCCAACCUUCUGCCUCCCUGCGAGCUAGCACUUCCCAAGAAGUUGAUCAUUCCGGAGCAUCGCGUGGACGAGUCAUCGAGGCCGGACGCUUGUGCGGCUGCGAAGCAUCCUUGAAGGAACCCCCUUCUAAAGGAUCUAAGGGCUUUGUGAUAUUUGGUGUCAAAGCAAAGGAUUAGUGGAGACUAUCUGAUUCCCGGGAACUCUCACGUGUGAUCGUGUGACGAAGCGUGGCUCUCCACUACCCGGGGGCUCAUAUGAUGAGUGCUUUGAUAGGCACGUGCGGGUGUCACCCUAUGUAUUGGGACUGAGCUCGUGCCACAUGUGAUGUGCAGUUGAAGAUUGU
rnacentral:lncRNA from 1 species